CAGGUCGACCUACUGCACGGCCCACCCAUGAGGCAAGGUGAGGCAACUGCCUCAGGCAGCAGGAUCCAGAGACAGCAGUCCCAAAGAAGAUCUUUAUUUCCCCCUUGUUACUGAUGUAGAUCUUCACUCACACCUUCAUCCCUGGUGGGGAGAGGGGGCGCCAUUUUGUGGUUCGCUUCAGGGGCCAAAAUGUCUUGGGCUGGCCCUGGCAUGGGGAUAUGGUGAGGGUAAAACUAUGCAUAUUACAGUUCCAUAAAAGAAGGGCAGGAUAGCAAUGUAAUAGUUGGGAAAGAUCUCUCACCCUAAGAUUUUCUGUCCCUUUCUGCGGUACAGGAAUGAGAUGUGUGUUUGCUUGUUUGUGUCUUCCUUUGAGGCUGAAAAGACUCCCACAGCCGCUUACGUAAGAUCAAUGAAAAACUAGGCAGCACCUACCCUCAAGCUUCCAAUGUGAAAGACAGCACAAAAAGAAAAAGAGAUGAGGAUGGAGAAGAAAAACAGCUGCAAGCAGGAACCCUAACCUCACUUGCCUCACUUGAAUUUAUUAGGACUUACUUCCUCUUAGACAAAUUUAAGAUGCUGGAGGUGGGGGAACCACACCCUUAAACAGUCCCUCAUGGGAAGAUACCCCUCCAGACAGAAAGGUAGCAAAAUGAAGCCAUUUCCUCUCUGAGAUGCUAAAAAAUGACGUUUCAUCCAGUGUUGGGUGAAGGAAAAUAUUCAAAUAUAUAACUUCAGCCAGCAGCUGAAGUGAUAGAAACUCACAAAGUUUUACUACUUAUUUCUGCUUAUUGUAUCUACUACUGUGACUGCUACACAGUCAUUGUUGUUGUUGUUCCUUGUAGGAGCUGCUUGUACACAAGGUACUAACAUCCAUAUCUGCCGCUACUGUGAAGAGGUUUGGUUCCCUCGUAAGGAAUUUCCUCAUCGCAGAAGGUUCCUUCUUGUUACCAUAGAAGGUAGUAAAGAGGUCGAGGGAGAACUGCAUCCGUCUCACAGUGGCCAGAGGCGAAGGCAGUAGGUUUUUGCGAGCCUUUGAUGUGCGCAUAAAGCUGUAACCUUGCCUUUUUACAGCUGUGGCAGGGAGUCACUGCAAAGAAAACACACACCAC